rnacentral:rRNA from 1 species
UCAGGCCUAACACAUGCAAGUCGAACGGCAGCGCGGGCUUCGGCCUGGCGGCGAGUGGCGAACGGGUGAGUAAUGCAUCGGAACGUGCCCAAGAGUGGGGGAUAACUAGUCGAAAGAUUAGCUAAUACCGCAUACGAUCUAAGGAUGAAAGUGGGGGACCGCAAGGCCUCAUGCUCCUGGAGCGGCCGAUGUCUGAUUAGCUAGUUGGUGGGGUAAAAGCCUACCAAGGCGACGAUCAGUAGCUGGUCUGAGAGGACGACCAGCCACACUGGGAUUGAGACACGGCCCAGACUCCUACGGGAGGCAGCAGUGGGGAAUUUUGGACAAUGGGGGAAACCCUGAUCCAUCAAAGGCGCGUGUGUGAAGAAGGCCUUCGGGUUGAAAUUAAAGGGUCAGGAACGAAACGGUGAGGGCUAAUAUC